rnacentral:miRNA from 1 species
UCAUUGGCUGAGCCCGGAACCGGGG